rnacentral:rRNA from 1 species
GAUGAACGCUGGCGGCGUGCCUAAUACAUGCAAGUCGAGCGAACGGACGAGAAGCUUGCUUCUCUGAUGUUAGCGGCGGACGGGUGAGUAACACGUGGAUAACCUACCUAUAAGACUGGGAUAACUUCGGGAAACCGGAGCUAAUACCGGAUGAUAUUUUGAACCGCAUGGUUCAAAAGUGAGAGACGGUCUUGCUGUCACUUAUAGAUGGAUCCGCGCUGCAUUAGCUAGUUGGUAAGGUAACGGCUUACUAAGGCAACGAUGCAUAGCCGACCUGAGAGGGUGAUCGGCCACACUGGAACUGAGACACGGUCCAGACUCCUACGGGAGGCAGCAGUAGGGAAUCUUCCGCAAUGGGCGAAAGCCUGACGGAGCAACGCCGCGUGAGUGAUGAAGGUCUUCGGAUCGUAAAACUCUGUUAUUAGGGAAGAACAUAUGUGUAAGUAACUGUGCACAUCUUGACGGUACCUAAUCAGAAAGCCACGGCUAACUACGUG